ACAUCCUCAACCUGCUUGGUUUUUCUUUAAUCCCGAGUAGGCUUGGAAUUUGGAGGUUUUCUGCUGGUCUCCUCCGAAGCCAGCUCCUCUUAAAUCUAUUAGUGGGAUCCGCUUUGCUAGAUCCUCGACGUUGAUAACAUCCUUCUACGUCUUGGGCUUUGCUCGGCAAUCACCUGCUUCUAAUGUUCCAGCCGAUCACCCUUCACGGGGUGCGAAGCUUUUGACCUUUUAUA
rnacentral:misc_RNA from 1 species